rnacentral:rRNA from 1 species
CGUAGGGGGCAAGCGUUGUCCGGAUUUAUUGGGCGUAAAGCGCGUGUAGGCGGCCAGCUAGGUCCGCUGUGAAAACUCGAGGCUUAACCUCGAGAGGUCGGCGGAAACCAUCUGGCUAGAGUCCGGAAGAGGAGAGUGGAAUUCCCGGUGUAGCGGUGAAAUGCGCAGAUAUCGGGAAGAACACCCGUGGCGAAGGCGGCUCUCUGGGACGGUACUGACGCUGAGACGCGAAAGCGUGGGGAGCGAACAGGAUUAGAUACCCUGGUAGUCCACGCCGUAAACGAUGGGUGCUAGGUGUGGGGAGUGUCGACUCUCUCUGUGCCGAAGCUAACGCAUUAAGCACCCCGCCUGGGGAGUACGGCCGCAAGGCUA